rnacentral:lncRNA from 1 species
GCCACCACCCACCUCCAUUUUUCCAGAAAUUUCCAUAGUUUUAUACCUCAAGUUUACAUCUCAGAUUCAAACCUUUCUUCUUCCUCCAUCAUCUCUCAAUGUUCUUCUCCCAUCACUCAAAUCUUUUUCUCCAUGUUUCAUAAACAUUUAUUCUCGGUAUUUCAUCUUCUAUUUUCCACAUAUUAGCAUAGACGUUUGUGUAGUGGAGCCUGAUUGUGUGGCUGUGAAUGUUGCAUAAUGAGUCCCGGUGGGGGUGAUUGAUGAUAGCUAUAAAGGGUGUGUAGGAAUAAAAGGAAUUAUGCAGCUGUGACCCCACAAGAGUGAAGAAUUGAUUUUGGGUUAAACGUGAAAGCUACAAUUUGUAACUUUUGAUAGAAUCGCU